rnacentral:rRNA from 1 species
CCUACGGGUGGCAGCAGUGAGGAAUAUUGGUCAAUGGCCGAGAGCCUGAACCAGCCAAGUCGCGUGAGGGAUGACGGCCCUAUGGGUUGUAAACCUCUUUUGCCGGGGAGCAAAAAGCGGUACGUGUACCGCCUCGAGAGUACCCGGAGAAAAAGCAUCGGCUAACUCCGUGCCAGCAGCCGCGGUAAUACGGAGGAUGCGAGCGUUAUCCGGAUUUAUUGGGUUUAAAGGGUGCGUAGGCGGCGGGUUAAGUCAGCGGUAAAAUUUCGGGGCUCAACCCCGUCGAGCCGUUGAAACUGGGUGGCUAGAGUGGGCGAGAAGUAUGCGGAAUGCGUGGUGUAGCGGUGAAAUGCAUAGAUAUCACGCAGAACUCCGAUUGCGAAGGCAGCAUACCGGCGCCCAACUGACGCUGAGGCACGAAAGCGUGGGUAUCGAACAGGAUUAGAUACCCGAGUAGUC